rnacentral:rRNA from 1 species
AUUGAACGCUGGCGGCAGGCCUAACACAUGCAAGUCGAACGGUAGCACAGAGAGCUUGCUCUCGGGUGACGAGUGGCGGACGGGUGAGUAAUGUCUGGGAAACUGCCUGAUGGAGGGGGAUAACUACUGGAAACGGUAGCUAAUACCGCAUAACGUCGCAAGACCAAAGAGGGGGACCUUCGGGCCUCUUGCCAUCAGAUGUGCCCAGAGGGGAUUAGCUAGUAGGCGGGGUAAUGGCCUACCUAGGCGACGAUCCCUAGCUGGUCUGAGAGGAUGACCAGCCACACUGGAACUGAGACACGGUCCAGACUCCUACGGGAGGCAGCAGUGGGGAAUAUUGCACAAUGGGCGCAAGCCUGAUGCAGCCAUGCCGCGUGUGUGAAGAAGGCCUUCGGGUUGUAAAGCACUUUCAGCGGGGAGGAAGGCGGUACGGUUAAUAACCGUGCUGAUUGACGUUACCCGCAGAAGAAGCACCGGCUAACUCCGUGCCAGCAGCCGCCGCAG